rnacentral:rRNA from 1 species
CGUGUAGGCGGUUAGUUAAGUCUGGCGUGAAAGCUCUCGGCUAAACCGGGAGAGGUCGUUGGAUACUGGCAAACUAGAGGACGGUAGAGGCGUGUGGAAUUCCGGGUGUAGUGGUGAAAUGCGUAGAGAUCCGGAGGAACACCAGUGGCGAAGGCGACACGCUGGGCCGUACCUGACGCUAAAGCGCGACAGCAUGGGGAGCAAACG